rnacentral:tRNA from 1 species
UGUAGAAGCUGGUAUUACACCAGUACGGAUAACUCAUAAUCGAUUGGUCCCCAGUUCAAGUCUGGGAGGGGCCACCA